rnacentral:SRP_RNA from 1 species
GCCGGGCAUGGUGGCGCAUGCCUGUAAUCCCAGCUACUCAGGAGGCUGAGGCAGGAGAAUUGCUUGAACCUAGGAGGUGGAGGCUGCAGUGAGCCAAGAUGAGAUCAUGCUACUGCACUCCAGCCUGGGCAACACAGCAAGACUUUGUUUCAG